rnacentral:tRNA from 1 species
GCGGAGGUUGCCCAGCCAGGUUAAAGGCGCAAGGCUCAGAUCCUUGUCUUCGUGAUGAAGUAUCACGAAGGGGGAAUCUCGUAGGAGUUCGCGAGUUCAAAUCUCGCCCUCCGCACCA